CAAGGACACCCCAUGUGUCCCAUGUCAUGCAGGAGAGGAGGGGAAGCCCCACAGAAGCUGCUUAACACCAGCAAGUCCCUCUCAUAGCAUUGUAUGGUUCCUCUUGUCUUGGCAGCCAUAGACUAUGAGAAGGAGAAUUCUAUUCUGGCUCCCAUCACUGGGCUAAAGCUGUAAAGAUGGGUGGAUGGAUGGAUGGAUGGAUGGAUGGAUGGAUGGAUGGAUGGAUGGAUGGAUGGAUGGAUGGAUGGAUGGAUGGAUGGAUGGAUGGAUGGAUGGAUGGAUGGAUAGAUGGACAGAUGGACAAAUGGAUGAACAGAUAGAUGGAUGGAUGGAGAGAUAGAUAUAGACAGGUAGAUUGACGGAUGGAUAGAUAGCUAGAUAGAUGGAUAGACGGAUAGAUAGGUGGAUGGACAUCUAGAGGAACAGAUGGGUAGAUGGAUAGAUGGACAGACGGAUGGACGGAUGGAUAGAUAGAUAGAUAGAUAGAUAGAUAGAUAGAUAGAUAGAUAGAUAGAUAGAUGGGUAGACAGACAGAUGGAUGGACGGAUGGAUGAAUGCAUAGCUGGAUGUACGGAUGGAGAGAUAGAUCAAUAGACGGAUGGAUAGAUGUAUGGGUGGAUGGAUAGAUGAACAGAUGGAUAAACAGAUAGACGGAUAGAUAGAUGGAUGGAUAGAUAGAUGGGCAGGUGAAUGGAUAGAUUGACAGAUGGACAGAUAGAUGAAUGGAUAAAUGUAUGGAUGGAGAGAUAGAUAUAUGAAUAGAUGGAUAGAUAAAUGGGCAGACAGAUGGAUAGAUGGACAGAUAGGUGAGCAGAUGGAUAGAUAGAUACGUACAUAGAUAGAUGAUAGAUGGAUGGAUAGAUCAAUAGACAGAUCAAUAGACGGAUAGAUAGAAAGGUAGUUGACGGAUCACAAAGUGGAUUUGCAGAGCAGGAAGAGAUGCAGUGGAGCUUUAAAUGCCUGUCCUUUCCUGAGCAUGCGAGGCUAUAAACGGAGCCACCUUAUUCAGGGGUGAUAAAACCUCCUGGGGGUGAUGAAAGGCACUGCUACGGGACGGGGGUCUGCUCUGGGGGUCAGCAGGACCCAGAGGGACCCAACCACACCCAGCCUGCGGGCGAUGUCCGAAACCUCUUUUUUUUUUUUUUUUUGGUAGGGUUUUUCUUCGUGUGUGAUUUUUUUUUCUGUGUGUGGUUGGUUUUUUUUUAUUAUUAUUGCUGUGGGUUUGUGGGUUUUUUUUUUCUUUUUUCUUU
rnacentral:lncRNA from 1 species